rnacentral:rRNA from 1 species
UAAGAAGGUGGCUAGCGUUGCUCGGAAUCACUGGGCGUAAAGCGCACGUAGGCGGAUUGCUAAGUCAGGGGUGAAAUCCUGGAGCUCAACUCCAGAACUGCCCUUGAUACUGACGAUCUCGAGUCCGGGAGAGGUGAGUGGAACUCCGAGUGUAGAGGUGAAAUUCGUAGAUAUUCGGAAGAACACCAGUGGCAAAGGCGGCUCACUGGCCCGGUACUGACGCUGAGGUGCGAAAGCGUGGGGAGCAAACAGG